rnacentral:rRNA from 1 species
UACGGGGGGGGCAAGCGUUGUUCGGAAUUACUGGGCGUAAAGGGCUCGUAGGCGGCCAACUAAGUCAGACGUGAAAUCCCCAGGCUCAACCUGGGAACUGCGUCUGAUACUGGAUGGCUUGAAUCCGGGAGAGGGAUGCAGAAUUCCAGGUGUAGCGGUGAAAUGCGUAGAUAUCUGGAGGAAUACCGGUGGCGAAGGCGGGUCUCUGGGCAGUAACUGACGCUGAGGAGCGAAAGCGUGGGUAGCAAACAGG